ACCUUGGCAUCACGGUCGGCGAGCGGUUGAGUUUUCUCCCGCAUGUCGCGUCCUUACGCGAUCGGCUGGCCGGAGUCGUCGGAGCCCUGACCCGUGUGCUACGCGUUGACUGGGGACUCAGUCCGCAAGCACGGCGAAGGAUCUAUGCCGGACUCAUGGUGCCUUGUGCGCUAUUUGGUGCCACGGUUUGGUACAAGGUGGUGAUGAGACUAGUCGGCGCCAGGAGGGCGCUCAAGUCCUGCCACCGGCUCAUCCUAUUAGGGUGCUUGCCAACGUGCCGAACGGUAUCUACGGAUGCCCUUGAAGUUCUUGCUGGAGCUCCACCGCUGGACCUUGCGGCGAUGCGUAUAGCAAUGCAGUCGAAGAUGAAGCGUAACUACCCUAUGGUAGAAGGCGACUGGCUCUACGAUCAAGACGUUUCGACCCUUGAUCGUAACAUGAGGAGAGCCUUGUUGGACGAACGCUUACUGCGUGAGUGGCAACUCCGAUGGGAUGACAGCGAGCACGGCCGUGUGACGCAUAAGUUCAUCCCGGACGUAAGCUUCGUCUACAACCGCCCAGACUUCAAGUUCACGAUGCAUGCCAGUUUCCUCAUAACUGGCCAUGGCUCGAUGAAUGCCUUCCUGCAUGCGCGUGGUCUAAGCGAGACUGCUGAAUGUCCAUGUGGCGAUCCCGUAGAGGACUGGCAGCACAUCUUAUGUGUCUGCCCCCUCUAUGCGGAUGUGCGAGACCCGGAAGGGCUUGGAAUUCAGCAAAAUACAUCUGGUGAUUGGACUUUCGCUGACACCCUGACGACCAACGAGAGCAUGCAACUGCUUGAAGAUUAUGCUCGCAUAGUCUUCAGCAGGCGACGCAUGCUGCUUGACGCUGGAGCUGGACCUGGUCGACCAGUACCGGACUGACGUAAGUCAAAACUGGUAGUAGCAUUUACUACGAAAGGCCUACCAAUGCCUCAAAUUGGUAGACGAUCUCCCCGGAGUGAAUCGCAGGUCCAACCAAAGUCCUUAAUUUGGUAGACAAAAUCCAUUCGGACGAGUCGAAGGGCAGACCAAAGCCUCAAUUUGGUAGAUUUUCCUUAUAACGAGGAAAGUCGAGGGUCAUACCAAAGUCCCUAAAUUUGGAAGACGAAUCCUAAUGGACUAGUCGAAAGGCCGACCAUAGCCUCAAUUUGGCAGACAAAAUCCCCGCGAUGAGUCGCAGGGCCUACCAGAGCCCUAAUCUGGGAGACGUGCCCUUGUGGACACAUCGAAGGUCUUACCAAAGUCCUUAAGUUUGGUAGACAAAAUCCAUUCGGACUAGUCGAAGGGCAAACCAAAGCCUCAAUUUGGUAGACUCUCUUCUCUCCGGAGAAAGUCGGAAGGCUGACCAAAGUCCUCAAUUUGGGAGACAAAUCCUUAUGGACUAGUCGAAGGGCGGACCAAAGCCUCUCAAUUUGGUAGACUCACUCUUUCGGGAGUCUGUCGCUGGUGUCUACCCAGUUCCUGGUUGUCGGAAACCAAAAUGGGAAGCAGUCUCUGACUGCGAACAGCCGAUCAAAGCUGUUAAUUUGAACCACGGGAUGGGCUGGUGGCCAAGGCCAGCCCAAUUGAGGUUGGCCCCCUUUAGUGGGAGUAUCGUGGUGGCUGUGGUUGAUAAAAUGUUGUGGUUCAACGUAAAGUUGGACCACAGCCGGAAGCUGUCCCCGCAGUCAGCAGAGGUUAAGAUAGGCCUCGCCUCUACCCAAGAGGGAAGCCAUGCCCGACAGCAUGAAUUCAAACUUGGUACCUAAAAGAGUUUCUUUUAGGGGCGUUGGUGGACGCAUCGUAUUCACCCGCUGUACUUUGUGUCACAUAUGUGGCUCAAACGCGUACCGUGGUUGUAAACCCCCUCGGGGUACACGCCACGAUAAAUAAAUAUCAGGACUCUGUCCCUAUCUACUAUCUAGCGAAACCACAGCCAAGGGAACGGGCUUGGAAUAAUUAGCGGGGAAAAUUAGCGGGGAAAGAAGACCCUUUUGAGCUUGACUCUAAUCUGGCAGUGUAAGGAGACAUAAGAGGUGUAGAAUAAGUGGGAGAUAUUAAGCUUCGGUUUAGUAUCAACAAUGAAAUACCACUACUCUUAUUGUUUCCUUACUUACUUGAUUAAGUGGAACGUGUAUCAUUUCCUAGCCAUUAUACGGAUAUAUUUAUUAUGUCUUAUGGUAUUGGGUUUUGAUGCAAGCUUCUUGAUCAAAGUAUCACGAGUUUGUUAUAUAAUCGCAAACAAAUUCUUUAAAGAGAAAAUGCAGUUAUGUAUUUUUGAUUUAAUAAUUUGGUAUAACUCCAAUUACUCAGGUAUGAUCCAAUUCAAGGACAUUGCCAGGUAGGGAGUUUGACUGGGGCGGUACAUCUCUCAAAUAAUAACGGAGGUGUCCCAAGGCCAGCUCAGUGCGGACAGAAACCACACAUAGAGCAAAAGGGCAAAUGCUGACUUGAUCUCGGUGUUCAGUACACACAGGGACAGCAAAAGCUCGGCCUAUCGAUCCUUUUGGUUUAAAGAGUUUUUAACAAGAGGUGUCAGAAAAGUUACCAUAGGGAUAACUGGCUUGUGGCGGCCAAGCGUUCAUAGCGACGUCGCUUUUUGAUCCUUCGAUGUCGGCUCUUCCUAUCAUUGUGAAGCAAAAUUCACCAAGCGUUGGAUUGUUCACCCAUGCAAGGGAACGUGAGCUGGGUUUAGACCGUCGUGAGACAGGUUAGUUUUACCCUACUAAUGACAAAACGUUGUUGCGACAGCAUUCCUGCGUAGUACGAGAGGAACCGCAGGUACGGACCAAUGGCACAAUACUUGUUCGAGCGAACAGUGGUAUGACGCUACGUCCGUUGGAUUAUGCCUGAACGCCUCUAAGGUCGUAUCCGUGCUGGACUGCAAUGAUAAAUAAGGGGCAAUUUGCAUUGUAUGGCUUCUAAACCAUUAAAAGUUUAUAAUUCAUUUUAUAAACGACAAUGGAUGUGAUGCCAAUGUUAUAUAUAACAUAGUAAAUUGGGAGGAUCUUCGAUCACCUGAUGCCGCGCUAGUUAUAUUUUAAAACAUUAUUU
rnacentral:rRNA from 1 species